rnacentral:misc_RNA from 1 species
GAAAUGCGAUAAGUAAUGUGAAUUGCAGAAUUCAGUGAAUCAUCGAAUCUUUGAACGCACCUUGCGCUCCUUGGUAUUCCUUGGAGCAUGCCUGUUUGAGUAUCAUGAAAUCUUCAAAGUAAAUCUUUUGUUAACUCAAUUGGUUUCUACUUUGGUAUUGGAGGUCUUUGCAGCUUCACACCUGCUCCUCUUUGUUCAUUAGCUGGAUCUCAGUGUUAUGCUUGGUUCCACUCGGCGUGAUAAGUUAUCUAUCGCUGAGGACACUGUAAAAGGUGGCCAAGGUAAAUGCAGAUGAACCGCUUCUAAUAGUCCAUUGACUUGGACAAUACUUUUAUGAUCUGAUCUCAAAUCAGGUAGGACUACCCGCUGGACUUAAGC